rnacentral:snRNA from 1 species
AGAUGUGAGGGUGAUCUGGCUAUGACAUCUGUCACCCCACUGAUCGCCAGGGUUGACUGACUGGCUAGGUGGGUGUCCCCUUCCUCCCUCACCAUCCCAAGUGAUAUGCAUCCGUCCCGAAGCUGCAGACUGGGUCAAAGAGGAUGACCAUUCCCAAAAGAGUAGAACCCUUCAGUAAAGGGUACACCCAGUUGCUACAGUACACCCAGUAGCUGCGCUACCCUGCUAGAACCUCCAAACAAAGAGCCAACUUCUACCGCUUAAUGCCAUGCUGGUUGCAUUCCAAC